UGGUGCCUGCUGAGUGAGAAGGGGCAGAUAGAAGCCCUGCACGACAAGGUGGCUGUCCCUGUGGAGGUCGACGGACUGGAAAGGGUUGGGGUGUUUCUGGAUUUCGAGGAGGGUAGCCUGUCGUUCUAUAAAGUGGCACAAGGGGGCGCUCUGAGCUUGCUCCAUUGUUUUAAACAGAGGUUCAGUGAACCAUUGUAUCCUGCACUAGCCGUGUCUAAAACCCAGCUCAACAUCUCUGAUCUGUUCCAGGCAGAAUCUGUUACGUCAGAGUAGUUACACGAGUACUUCAGAUAUCUAUAAAUCUUCUUCUUUUUUUAACGGCAAUCUGAUUCAAACAACAACAGGUGGUCAAUCCGCCACUAUUUUAUUCUGUAAACCGCUGAUGAGUGGGGCUAGAGAAGGAGAAUUGUUCCAGACAGGCUCAGUAGAAUACACACAGUGGGGAAGUUAAGUUUUUUCUACAGAUCAUAAAUACCUUUUUGUGUAAGCAAUAAAACAUUUUUUUUAAACUUUUUAUAAAUGUUAAUCAAAUAGAGGAUUGCGAAGAGAAAUCUCAACGCAGAGAUAAUCUUAAAUAUUCUUAUGUUUCAUUGUUUUCAAAUGUAGAUGUAAUGAGAAGCAUAAAUACACUGAGUGGACGAAAAAUUAGGAACACCUGCCCUUUCCAUGACAGACUGAGAAGGGGAAAGCUAUGAUCCCUUAUUGGUGUCACCUGUUAAAUCCACUUCAAUCAGUGGAGAUGAAGGGGAGGAGACGGGUCAAGGAAGGGUUUUUAAGUCUUGAGCCAUGGAUUGUGUAUAAUUUAGAGGGUGAAUGGGCAAGACAAAAUAAUUAAGUGCUUUUGUACGGGAUCUGGUAGUAGGUGCCAGGCGCACCGGUUUGGGUCAAGAACUGCAACGCUGCUGGGUUUUUCAAUAAUGGUCCACCACCCAAAGGACAUCCAGCCAACCUGACACAACUGCGGGAAGCAUUGGAGUCAACAUAGACCAGCAUCCCUGUGGAACGCCUUCGACACCUUGUAGAGUCCAUGCCCUGACGAAUUGAGGCUGUUCUGAGUGGAAAAGGGGGGGAGGGGCGCAGCUCAAUAUUAGGAAGGUGUUCUUAAUGUUUUGUAUACUCAGUGUAGAGGUCUCUGUUCAGUAUAAUCUGCAUUGCUUGGGGUUUUAAGUUGGGUUUCUGUACAGCACUUUGUGAUAUCUGCUGAUGUAAAAAAUGGCUUUAUAAAUAAAUUUGACUUACCCUUCCCUUUCCUGA